rnacentral:rRNA from 1 species
UACGCCCUACGGGGGGCAGCAGUGGGGGAUAUUGCACAAUGGGGGGAACCCUGAUGCAGCGACGCCGCGUGGGUGAAGGAGUGCUUCGGCAUGUAAAGCCCUAUCGGCAGGGAAGAAGCAAGACGGUACCUGACUAAGAAGCCCCGGCUAACUACGUGCCAGCAGCCGCGGUAAUACGUAGGGGGCGAGCGUUAUCCGGAUUCACUGGGUGUAAAGGGAGCGUAGACGGCCAUGCAAGCCAGGGGUGAAAGCCCGCGGCCCAACCGCGGGACUGCAUUGGGAACUACCGGGCUGGAGUGCCGGAG